GAACGAGGGCCAAGGAGCUUGCUCCUUNUAACCGAGUGGCGAACGGGUGAGUAACACGUGACCAACCUGUCCUAGGGCGGGGGACAACCUGGGGAAACCCGGUGCUAAUACCGCAUGAUGUCCGGAUCUCGCAUGGGGACCGGAUCAAAGAGGGCCUCUGCUUGCAAGCUCUCACCCAAGGAGGGGGUCGCGACGUAUCAGCUUGUUGGUGGGGUAACGGCCUACCAAGGCUACGACGCGUAGUGGGUCUGAGAGGACGACCCGCCACAUUGGGACUGAGAUACGGCCCAGACUCCUACGGGAGGCAGCAGUGAGGAAUUUUGCACAAUGGGGGCAACCCUGAUGCAGCGACGCCGCGUGAGUGAUGAAGGUCUUCGGAUCGUAAAGCUCUGUCAGCAGGGAAGAACUGUCAUGCAGCUAAUAACUGUGUGAUUUGACGGUACCUGCAAAGGAAGCACCGGCUAACUCCGUG
rnacentral:rRNA from 1 species